CGUGAUAGGGGACACCGAGUGCCAGCAUCAUAUGCUGGCUGUCCGGGUGUGUAACAUACAUCCGUUAGCAAGGGCCGGGCAAGACCGGUGCCAGCCGCCGCGGUAACACCGGCGGCCCGAGUGGUGAUCGUGAUUAUUGGGUCUAAAGGGUCCGUAGCCGGUUUGGUCAGUCCUCCGGGAAAUCUGAUAGCUCAACUAUUAGGCUUUCGGGGGAUACUGCCAGACUUGGAACCGGGAGAGGUAAGAGGUACUACAGGGGUAGGA
rnacentral:rRNA from 1 species